UGGGGAAUAUUGGACAAUGGGCGAAAGCCUGAUCCAGCCAUGCCGCGUGUGUGAAGAAGGUCUUCGGAUUGUAAAGCACUUUAAGUUGGGAGGAAGGGCAGUAAAUUAAUACUUUGCUGUUUUGACGUUACCGACAGAAUAAGCACCGGCUAACUCUGUGCCAGCAGCCGCGGUAAUACAGAGGGUGCAAGCGUUAAUCGGAAUUACUGGGCGUAAAGCGCGCGUAGGUGGUUCGUUAAGUUGGAUGUGAAAUCCCCGGGCUCAACCUGGGAACUGCAUUCAAACUGACGAGCUAGAGUAUGGUAGAGGGUGGUGGAAUUUCCUGUGUAGCGGUGAAAUGCGUAGAUAUAGGAAGGAACACCAGUGGCGAAGGCGACCACCUGGACUGAUACUGACACUGAGGUGCGAAAGCGUGGGGAGCAAAACAGGAUUAG
rnacentral:rRNA from 1 species